GAUGAACGCUGGCGGCGUGCCUAAUACAUGCAAGUCGAGCGAACGGACGAGAAGCUUGCUUCUCUGAUGUUAGCGGCGGACGGGUGAGUAACACGUGGAUAACCUACCUAUAAGACUGGGAUAACUUCGGGAAACCGUAGCUAAUACCGGAUAAUAUUUUGAACCGCAUGGUUCAAAAGUGAAAGACGGUCUUGCUGUCACUUAUAGAUGGAUCCGCGCUGCAUUAGCUAGUUGGUAAGGUAACGGCUUACCAAGGCAACGAUGCAUAGCCGACCUGAGAGGGUGAUCGGCCACACUGGAACUGAGACACGGUCCAGACUCCUACGGGAGGCAGCGGUAGGGAAUCUUCAGCAAUGGGCGAAAGCCUGACGGAGCAACGCCGCGUGAGUGAUGAAGGUCUUCGGAUCGUAAAACUCUGUUAUUAGGGAAGAACAUAUGUGUAAGUAACUGUGCACAUCUUGACGGUACCUAAUCAGAAAGCCACGGCUAACUACGUG
rnacentral:rRNA from 1 species